AUACCUUUCUCGGCCUUUUGGUUAAGAUCAAGUGUAGUAUCUGUUCUUAUCAGUUUAAUAUCUGAUAUGUGGACUAUUAGUUCACACGAUAUUAAAUUAAUUUUUUGAGGGAGAGAAACAUCAAGGAGCUUGCUGCUUGGUUUCUUAAGCAUCGUCCUUGUUUUACACUCUUGCAAGGCCUGGUGCAUCCCAC
rfam:Vigna angularis cultivar Jingnong 6 chromosome 3, whole genome shotgun sequence.